rnacentral:rRNA from 1 species
ACUGGCCGCCUUUAGUGUCUGCUUAACCGCAGGUGCCUGCCUUUUUGGUGGGUAUGUGUGAAUCGUUUACAUACGACGCACGCACUGUUGGUGUGAGGGUCUGCUUGUCAGUGCACUUUCUCAGGGUGUUCACCACGACCGGCACUGCUGCCUGUCUGCUAUGGCCAAACUGAUCAGGUCUGAUUUCCGUCAGUCUUGGUUGGGUCGGCAGGUGACUCUUUGGCUCAUCUAUGGGCUGUGAGUGUUACUAGCCGGCUGUAGCGGAGCUGUGCGGUGUGUCGGAGAUGGCGGCUUCGCAUGCGUGCCUAGACCUUCGGGCUUUGUUGAGUCUGGUCGGCUCGUUACUAGCUUCGGCUGGUCGGCUGAUGGCUUGAUUUUGUCACGUUGGCGGUUGCGUGUGUGAUUUGCGUUGGGCCAAUAGUCUGUGGUGUAGUGGUAGACGAUCCACCUGACCCGUCUUGAAACACGGACCAAGGAGUUUAACAUGUGCGCGAGUCAUUGGGUGUUACGAAACCCAAAGGCGAAGUGAAGGUAAAGGUUCGGCUUGUCCGGACUGAGGUGAGAUCCUGUUGUCUUGCUCAUACUUUCCAAGUUGCGAGCAGCGGGCGCAUCACCGGCCCGUCCCAUGACGUAGACAUGUGACCUCGUGUUAUGUGCACCGUCGGGGCGGAGCAAGAGCG